UACGUAGGGACCAAGCGUUGUUCGGAUUUACUGGGCGUAAAGGGCGCGUAGGCGGUGCGGUAAGUCACUUGUGAAAUCUCUGAGCUUAACUCAGAACGGCCAAGUGAUACUGCAGUACUAGAGUGCGGAAGGGGCAAUCGGAAUUCUUGGUGUAGCGGUGAAAUGCGUAGAUAUCAAGAGGAACACCUGAGGUGAAGACGGGUUGCUGGGCCGACACUGACGCUGAUGCGCGAAAGCCAGGGGAGGCAAACGGG
rnacentral:rRNA from 1 species